UACGUAGGGGGCAAGCGUUGUCCGGAUUUAUUGGGCGUAAAGAGCGUGUAGGCGGCCAGAUAGGUCCGUUGUGAAAACUGGAGGCUUAACCUCCAGCUGUCCGAUGGAAACCAUCUGGCUAGAGUCCGGAAGAGGAGAGUGGAAUUCCUGGUGUAGCGGUGAAAUGCGCAGAUAUCAGGAAGAACACCCGUGGCGAAGGCGGCUCUCUGGGACGGUACUGACGCUGAGACGCGAAAGCGUGGGGAGCGAACAGG
rnacentral:rRNA from 1 species